UGUGAGCUCGAUGAGUAGGGCGGGACACGUGGUAUCCUGUCUGAAUAUGGGGGGACCAUCCUCCAAGGCUAAAUACUCCUGACUGACCGAUAGUGAACCAGUACCGUGAGGGAAAGGCGAAAAGAACCCCGGCGAGGGGAGUGAAAAAGAACCUGAAACCGUGUACGUACAAGCAGUGGGAGCACGCUUAGGCGUGUGACUGCGUACCUUUUGUAUAAUGGGUCAGCGACUUAUAUUCUGUAGCAAGGUUAACCGAAUAGGGGAGCCGAAGGGAAACCGAGUCUUAACUGGGCGUUAAGUUGCAGGGUAUAGACCCGAAACCCGGUGAUCUAGCCAUGGGCAGGUUGAAGGUUGGGUAACACUAACUGGAGGACCGAACCGACUAAUGUUGAAAAAUUAGCGGAUGACUUGUGGCUGGGGGUGAAAGGCCAAUCAAACCGGGAGAUAGCUGGUUCUCCCCGAAAGCUAUUUAGGUAGCGCCUCGUGAACUCAUCUCCGGGGGUAGAGCACUGUUUCGGCAAGGGGGUCAUCCCGACUUACCAACCCGAUGCAAACUGCGAAUACCGGAGAAUGUUAUCACGGGAGACACACGGCGGGUGCUAACGUCCGUCGUGAAGAGGGAAACAACCCAGACCGCCAGCUAAGGUCCCAAAGUCAUGGUUAAGUGGGAAACGAUGUGGGAAGGCCCAGACAGCCAGGAUGUUGGCUUAGAAGCAGCCAUCAUUUAAAGAAAGCGUAAUAGCUCACUGGUCGAGUCGGCCUGCGCGGAAGAUGUAACGGGGCUAAACCAUGCACCGAAGCUGCGGCAGCGACGCUUAUGCGUUGUUGGGUAGGGGAGCGUUCUGUAAGCCUGCGAAGGUGUGCUGUGAGGCAUGCUGGAGGUAUCAGAAGUGCGAAUGCUGACAUAAGUAACGAUAAAGCGGGUGAAAAGCCCGCUCGCCGGAAGACCAAGGGUUCCUGUCCAACGUUAAUCGGGGCAGGGUGAGUCGACCCCUAAGGCGAGGCCGAAAGGCGUAGUCGAUGGGAAACAGGUUAAUAUUCCUGUACUUGGUGUUACUGCGAAGGGGGGACGGAGAAGGCUAUGUUGGCCGGGCGACGGUUGUCCCGGUUUAAGCGUGUAGGCUGGUUUUCCAGGCAAAUCCGGAAAAUCAAGGCUGAGGCGUGAUGACGAGGCACUACGGUGCUGAAGCAACAAAUGCCCUGCUUCCAGGAAAAGCCUCUAAGCAUCAGGUAACAUCAAAUCGUACCCCAAACCGACACAGGUGGUCAGGUAGAGAAUACCAAGGCGCUUGAGAGAACUCGGGUGAAGGAACUAGGCAAAAUGGUGCCGUAACUUCGGGAGAAGGCACGCUGAUAUGUAGGUGAAGUCCCUCGCGGAUGGAGCUGAAAUCAGUCGAAGAUACCAGCUGGCUGCAACUGUUUAUUAAAAACACAGCACUGUGCAAACACGAAAGUGGACGUAUACGGUGUGACGCCUGCCCGGUGCCGGAAGGUUAAUUGAUGGGGUUAGCGCAAGCGAAGCUCUUGAUCGAAGCCCCGGUAAACGGCGGCCGUAACUAUAACGGUCCUAAGGUAGCGAAAUUCCUUGUCGGGUAAGUUCCGACCUGCACGAAUGGCGUAAUGAUGGCCAGGCUGUCUCCACCCGAGACUCAGUGAAAUUGAACUCGCUGUGAAGAUGCAGUGUACCCGCGGCAAGACGGAAAGACCCCGUGAACCUUUACUAUAGCUUGACACUGAACAUUGAGCCUUGAUGUGUAGGAUAGGUGGGAGGCUUUGAAGUGUGGACGCCAGUCUGCAUGGAGCCGACCUUGAAAUACCACCCUUUAAUGUUUGAUGUUCUAACGUUGACCCGUAAUCCGGGUUGCGGACAGUGUCUGGUGGGUAGUUUGACUGGGGCGGUCUCCUCCUAAAGAGUAACGGAGGAGCACGAAGGUUGGCUAAUCCUGGUCGGACAUCAGGAGGUUAGUGCAAUGGCAUAAGCCAGCUUGACUGCGAGCGUGACGGCGCGAGCAGGUGCGAAAGCAGGUCAUAGUGAUCCGGUGGUUCUGAAUGGAAGGGCCAUCGCUCAACGGAUAAAAGGUACUCCGGGGAUAACAGGCUGAUACCGCCCAAGAGUUCAUAUCGACGGCGGUGUUUGGCACCUCGAUGUCGGCUCAUCACAUCCUGGGGCUGAAGUAGGUCCCAAGGGUAUGGCUGUUCGCCAUUUAAAGUGGUACGCGAGCUGGGUUUAGAACGUCGUGAGACAGUUCGGUCCCUAUCUGCCGUGGGCGCUGGAGAACUGAGGGGGGCUGCUCCUAGUACGAGAGGACCGGAGUGGACGCAUCACUGGUGUUCGGGUUGUCAUGCCAAUGGCACUGCCCGGUAGCUAAAUGCGGAAGAGAUAAGUGCUGAAAGCAUCUAAGCACGAAACUUGCCCCGAGAUGAGUUCUCCCUGACUCCUUGAGAGUCCUGAAGGAACGUUGAAGACGACGACGUUGAUAGGCCGGGUGUGUAAGCGCAGCGAUGCGUUGAGCUAACCGGUACUAAUGAACCGUGAGGCUUAACCUUACAACGCCGAAGGUGUUU
rnacentral:rRNA from 1 species